rnacentral:rRNA from 1 species
CUACGGGCCGCUGCAGUGGGGAAUAUUGCACAAUGGGCGCAAGCCUGAUGCAGCCACGCCGCGUGUAUGAAGAAGGCCUUCGGGUUGUAAAGUACUUUCAGCGGGGAGGAAGGGAGUAAAGUUAAUACCUUUGCUCAUUGACGUUACCCGCAGAAGAAGCACCGGCUAACUCCGUGCCAGCAGCCGCGGUAAUACGGAGGGUGCAAGCGUUAAUCGGAAUUACUGGGCGUAAAGCGCACGCAGGCGGUUUGUUAAGUCAGAUGUGAAAUCCCCGGGCUCAACCUGGGAACUGCAUCUGAUACGGGCAAGCUUGAGUCUCGUAGAGGGGGGUAGAAUUCCAGGUGUAGCGGUGAAAUGCGUAGAGAUCUGGAGGAAUACCGGUGGCGAAGGCGGCCCCCUGGACGAAGACUGACGCUCAGGUGCGAAAGCGUGGGGAGCAAACAGGAUUAGAUACCCGCGUAGUC